AUGACUAUUGCCACACCCCCCCAGGAAAACCCCUGCCCCAUCUUCCUCUUGUGCUCUCUCUACCCAAGGUCCCGAGUCACAGGAGUUGAGGAAAAAAACCCAAUAUGGAACAAAUACAGCAACCUUCUCCUUGUCUUCCUGGAACGAAAGUUGAGGCUGGAUCAUAAAUUAUUUAGUAGUACAUCCUUUUUCUUUGGAAUCCAGAAAGCACCUACCAAUAUUUUGGAUAUACUGACACAAAUUCACCACGGCCUUCACUCACUUUUCUCCUUCUCCCUGACCAAGAUGUGAGAAUCAAGAUACACUGCAGCAGAGUAGCAAACCCCAUCGGCUCAGCCAUUCUGACUCUCAUAUUGCUUUGGGCGGUUACCACGAUGCUCACCCUUGCGGAUAUAGACACCCGUGAUUCCUGCAUUACUAAUAUGAUCUCAUCUCUUAUCUAAACUCCUUUGAUGGAACUGGUGGAGAAGUGAUAACCUCUGAAUCAAAGGAAUCUCAAACCACAAGACUCACUGACUAUAAGCAAAAUGACGAUAAAUUUUUAGAGAGGCAGAAGUUUCUUACUUAGGAUUAUUAAAGAAUAUGCUAAAGAAAGAUAAGCAACUUGAGCAGUUACUAAAUAUAUCAAGCACACAUGGGGCUGAGAUAUGUGGGGUGAUUCGCAGCUGAACAAACAAAAUGACUAUUUCUGUAGGGACCCUGAGUAUUUGGUGCUUUGUGAUUGAUGACGCACCCUACUAUUUAAGGAGUGAAGGAGAAUUAUCCUAUCUCAAGUUCAGAAUAGAUUUUUCUCUUCAAGAGAAAAUUAUUUUUAAAUAUUUGAAUGGCGCUUGAGUAAAAUAUGUCUAUCAUAAAAGUUAUCUAACAAUUUACAUUGCCACCAAGAUGACACAGCCUAAGAGCUGUGAUGACAUCAGAGGAAAAUAGAUAUAAUCUAUACAGUACAAGGAACUUCAUUUUUCUUCUUCUGCAAGAAACUGGCUCCAUUACAGUGAUAGUGAUUUUCAGAAAAUGGAUAGUUAUUGAGGUGAGAUUACUUAUGAGGGGAAUGUAGAUUAUUCAGGUGAAAAAGAAUGUAGAGGGGGCCAGCUCUGUGGCCAAGUGGUUAAGUUUGCACGCUCCAAUGCGGUGGCCCAGGGUUCGGAUCCUGGGCGCCGACAUGGCACCGCUCGUCAGGCCACGUUGAGGUGGCGUCCCACAUCCCGCCACAACUAGAAGGACCUGCAACUAAGAUAUACAAGUAUGUACUGAGGAGGGGGGUGGGGAGUGGGGUGGGGAGGGGGGUGGGGUGGGGGUUGGCAAAUAAAGCAGAAAAAAAAAAAAAAGAUUGGCA
rnacentral:lncRNA from 1 species